GCAUUGGUGGUUCUGUGGCAGAAUUCUUGCCUUCCAUGUGGGAGACCCAGGUUUGAUUUCUGGCCAAUGCA
rnacentral:tRNA from 1 species